GGAGACUCUUAAAGACUGGAAACGGGGAAACAGUUGGCCUGGCUCCAUCCAAAGAGGACGGAGAGACUUACUGGGUACGGCUGAACAACGCUCAACAAUAUGGACUCCUUGCAGCUCCUGAGGAUUUCAUCUGCUUCGGGGGAAUGUGUUGAUAAUGGCCAUGGAUCGGAUGAGUCACUGUUGUAUUAGAGCUCGCUGUACAGCUGGGGCUCCUUACCUGGUG